rnacentral:rRNA from 1 species
CCUCAGAUCAGGUAGGAGUACCCGCUGAACUUAAGCAUAUCAAUAAGCGGAAAAGAAACCAACAGGGAUUGCCCCAGUAGCGGCGAGUGAAGCGGCAAGAGCUCAGAUUUGAAAUCGUGUCUUUGGCACGAGUUGUAGAGUGUAGGCGGGAGUCUUUGUGGAGCACGGUGUCCAAGUCCCUUGGAACAGGGCGCCUGAGAGGGUGAGAGCCCCGUGGGGUGCCGUGCGAAGCUGUGAGGCCCUGCUGACGAGUCGAGUUGUUUGGGAAUGCAGCUCCAAGUGGGUGGUAAAUUCCAUCUAAGGCUAAAUACUGGCGAGAGACCGAUAGCGAACAAGUACUGUGAAGGAAAGAUGAAAAGCACUUUGAAAAGAGAGUGAAACAGCACGUGAAAUUGUUGAAAGGGAAGGGUAUUGGGCCCGACAUGGGGAGUGCGCACCGCUGUCUCUUGUAGGCGGCGCUCUGGGCGCUCUCUGGGCCAGCAUCGGUUUUUGCUGCGGGAGAAUGGGUGCCGGAAAGUGGCUCUUCGGAGUGUUAUAGCCGGCGCCAGAUACCGCGUGCGGGGACCGAGGACUGCGGCUUCUGUCUCGGAUGCUGGCACAACGGCGCAAUACCGC